rnacentral:rRNA from 1 species
CGCAUCUGUGCAUGCAGCAUAUCAAUAAGCGGAGGAAAAGAAACUAACAAGGAUUCCCUUAGUAACGGCGAGUGAAGCGGGAAGAGCUCAAAUUUGAAAUCUUCAAGGUUUUACCUUGACGAAUUGUAGUUUAAAGAAGUGUUUUCUGUUGAAGUUUUGGUAAAAGUUCUUUGGAAUAGGACAUCAUAGAGGGUGAGAAUCCCGUAUUUGACCAUUAUUUUCAGCUGUGUGAUACACUUUCAAAGAGUCGGAUUGUUUGGGAAUGCAGUCCAAGAUGGGUGGUAAAUUUCAUCUAAAGCUAAAUAUUGGCGAGAGACCGAUAGCGAACAGGUACCGUGAGGGAAAGAUGAAAAGAACUUUGAAAAGAGAGUUAAACAGUACGUGAAAUUGUCAAAAGGGAAGCGUUUGACACCAGUGUUGUUUUCUCGAAAAUCAAUUAAAAAGAGUCAGGAUUUUGUGUUGUAUUGACCUUUAUACAGCUUUCUGCACUUCAAUUUUCUUGUCUUUUUUUAAUGCACUUUUCGUUUAACAAGUCAACAUCAGUUUCUUUUGUUGUAAAAAGAGUCAUUGGAAGGUGGCUUUCACUUUCGGAUGAAAGUGUUUAUAGCCUUUGGACUUCCUGCAAUCGGAGAGAUUGAGGUCUGCAAGCGUAGAUCCUUCGGGGUUAGAUACAUUUGUGCUAAGUUAUAGCCUUUUCAUAGACAACUUGUUGACUAUGAUCAGUCAUUGUAGCUUACUCGCUUAUGCUAUUUUACCUACGCUUAGGAUGUUGACGAUCAGCUGAGCGCG